AGUGAACGCUGGCGGUAGGCCUAACACAUGCAAGUCGAACGGCAGCACAGUAAGAGCUUGCUCUUACGGGUGGCGAGUGGCGGACGGGUGAGGAAUACAUCGGAAUCUACUUUUUCGUGGGGGAUAACGUAGGGAAACUUACGCUAAUACCGCAUACGACCUACGGGUGAAAGCAGGGGAUCUUCGGACCUUGCGCGAUUGAAUGAGCCGAUGUCGGAUUAGCUAGUUGGCGGGGUAAAGGCCCACCAAGGCGACGAUCCGUAGCUGGUCUGAGAGGAUGAUCAGCCACACUGGAACUGAGACACGGUCCAGACUCCUACGGGAGGCAGCAGUGGGGAAUAUUGGACAAUGGGCGCAAGCCUGAUCCAGCCAUACCGCGUGGGUGAAGAAGGCCUUCGGGUUGUAAAGCCCUUUUGUUGGGAAAGAAAAGCAGCAGGUUAAUACCCCGCUGUCCUGACGGUACCCAAAGAAUAAGCACUGGCUAACUUCGUG
rnacentral:rRNA from 1 species